GGCUGUAGGGCAAUCUGGCUGCAUCUGUCGUCCCAUUUAUCACCAGGGUUGAUUUGACUGAUGUGGCUGGCUAGGUGGGGUGUCCCCUUUCUCCCUGACUACCCCCAGGGGUCUCACCUGAAGUUGCAUGAUCGAUGGAAAAAGACAACCUUUCCUGAUGGAGAAGGAUUAUUCCUCGGUGAAGGGUAUAUGAGGAGCUGCGCUUUCCUGCUAGAACCUCCAAAUAAGCUCUUAAGAAAAGCACUUUAAAAUAAAGAUACAAAUAGGUUAAAAGUAAAGGAUGGAAAAAGAUGUAACAGGCUAACACAAAUCAAAAGAAAGCUGAAGUAGCUAUAUUACUAU
rnacentral:snRNA from 1 species